rnacentral:rRNA from 1 species
UACGGGGGGGGCAAGCGUUGUUCGGAAUUACUGGGCGUAAGGGCUCGUAGGCUGCCAACUAAGUCGGACGUGAAAUCCCUCGGCUUAACCGGGGAACUGCGUCCGAUACUGGAUGGCUUGAGUUUGGGAGAGGGAUGCGGAAUUCCAGGUGUAGCGGUGAAAUGCGUAGAUAUCAGGAGGAACACCUGUGGUGUAGACAGCUUGCUGGACCAUCACUGACGCUGAGGCACGAAAGCGUGGGUAGCAAACAGG